UACGAAGGGGACUAGCGUUGUUCGGAAUUACUGGGCGUAAAGCGCGCGUAGGCGGGAGGCCAAGUCCGCUGUGAAAGCCCGGGGCUUAACCCCGGCGGGUCGGUGGAGACUGGUCUUCUUGAAGAUGCUAGGGGGAGAUGGAAUUAUCGGUGUAGCGGUGAAAUGCGUAGAGAUCGAUAGGAACACCAGUGGCGAAGGCGGUCUCCUGGGGCACUCUUGACGCUGAGGCGCGAAAGCUGGGGGAGCGAACGGG
rnacentral:rRNA from 1 species